UACGUAGGGUGCAAGCGUUGUCCGGAAUUAUUGGGCGUAAAGAGCUCGUAGGUGGCCUGUCGCGUCGGCUGUGAAAACUCGGGGCUCAACUCCGAGCUUGCAGUCGAUACGGGCAGGCUAGAGUUCGGCAGGGGGAGACUGGAAUUCCUGGUGUAGCGGUGAAAUGCGCAGAUAUCAGGAGGAACACCGGUGGCGAAGGCGGGUCUCUGGGCCGAUACUGACACUGAGGAGCGAAAAGCGUGGGGAGCGAACAGG
rnacentral:rRNA from 1 species